UUAAGGUUUCAUGUAUCCCCAGGCCAUAGGUCAGGUGUGCAGGAGGUGCAUAAAGAUCCUAGGGCUAAGGCAGGGGUAUUGUCCCCUAUACUUCUGUUCAGGUGGAUGAGACAACUGUGUAACACUAAUAUGGAGGGUGGCUGGAUCAGUCCUUCCUUGUGGUUGCAGGCCUUGCACCUCUGAGAACUCAGAGCAGGCCUGCCUGUGCAGACAGAACUCUCUUGGUUGUAUUAGAGCAGAUCCCUCCUGCAAUUUGGUAGGGAGGGAGAAUUGAGAGGCAAUGUCAGGCUUGUCUCCUCGAGACUGUUAGAGGGGUCUUCUUCCACCAGCUGUGAACUAAGAUCUCAGGAGUGCGAGGCUGGACCUCUGGAGAUUCUCAGUGCUCAUGAAAGGAAGGCUUGCCUGUGGGUCGUGAAAUCAUUUCCCACAUGGUCAUGGUAUCCAUCAUGUGGAACCAAAGAGACCCAUCUGCCCUGGAAACUGUGCCUGGAACUGUACAUAUUGGUGAUCCAGAGGCAGAGAAUAGGUAGGUAGGUAGGUAGGUAGGAAGGUGGGUGGGUGUGUUGCAAGCCAGUUGUUAUUACCCUGUGUUAGUGAGCAUGUGGAGAGAAAGUUAGAAUGUGCCUUUAGAAUUGUCAGUGGGACCCCUCAGACGACCUUGGUGUGAAGUGACCUAGGAAGUCAGGGGAGUAGAUGUGUUGCAGGCAUCCUGUUGGGAUAAGUGGGCAUUGGUCAUUGUGCUUUGUGUGUAGGUGCCCGUCACCUGCGGUGCACUUGAAUGUCUUUCGAGAGCUUCGAGUUGCAUGCAUGGCGAGUUCCAGCACAGGUAGGUAGGUGGCUGUGUGGGAGGACACAGAUAGAAGGAUCCAUGUGUGAAAAUGACUUGGGGACCUUGGAGGAAGGAAGGAGAGAGAAUUGUGGUGUCCCCCUUCCCUCUCCCGUGCUGUCUGCUGGUUGGUAAAGGGCUGGGGUGUAGUGGAGGUGGGGUGGAGAAUUUAGGGAGAGGAGAGAUACUGUAGGGAGCAGGACUUACCUCAUAAUGGUUGCCUGGUUGCCUGGUUACCUGGCCAUGCUUACUUAGUUGGAGCUGAGAAUCGGGGGCCUGGUAGCCACAGUUGCAGGUUGGGCUGGAAUAAUUGUUCCUUCUCUUGAUGUGUCCUUGUUCUCAGGUCAGGUUGAUAUGGCUAGGCGGCCUGCUGGCGAGAUAGUGGGAGUGGGCGGCCCGCCCCUCAGGACCUCUGACCUGGACAGAUGACUGGAUGACUCUCUGGGGCAGCAUUCACCGGAACUCAUAUGGAGAGGACUGCCUGAGAAACCAACCUGUGUGCCUGGGUGCCCGUCACCUGCGGUGCACUUGAAUGUCUUUCGAGAGCUCUGAGUUGCAUGCAUGGCGAGUUCCAGCACAGGUAGGUAGGUGGCUGUGUGGGAGGACACAGAUAGAAGGAUCCAUGUGUGAGAGUGACUUGGGGACUUCGGAGGACUGAAGGAGAGAACAUUGUGGUGUCCCCCUUACGCUUCCAGUGCUGUCUGCUGGUUGGUAAUGGGCUGGGGUGUAGUGGAGGUGGGGUGGAGAAUUUAGGGAGAGGAGAGAUACUGUAGGGAGCAGGACUUACCUCAUAAUGGUUGCCUGGUUGCCUGGUUACCUGGCCAUGCUUACUUAGUUGGAGCUUCGAAUUGAGGGCCUGGUAGCCACAGUUGCAGGUUGGGCUGAAAUAAUUGUUCCUUCUCUUGAUGUGUCCUUGUUCUCAGGUCAGGUUGAUAUGGCUAGGCGGCCUGCUGGCGAGAUAGUGGGAGUGGGCGGUCCGCCCCUCAGGACCUCUGAUUUGGACAGAUGACUGGAUGACUCUCUGGGGCAGCAUUCACCGGAACUCAUAUGGAGGGGACUGCCUGAGAAACCAACCUGUGUGCCUGGGUAAGAAGACUAAGCUUUUCUUCCGGGGUCCCUUCUUUUCAUCUCCCAUUGGACUUGGGGUUCAGGCCAGGGACACUGAAGGCCUCACAGGCACAUACAACUGCCCACCCAUGGCCUUGGGUCCACUGCUGCACUUCCUGCUGCCAGGUGGGAAGCCAGUGCUGGGCCUGGUGCCCCACCCGCACCAGGUGUGCGCUCUGAUCAACCUUGCCUGUGCCCAGUGCUCUCUGACACCACUUCCCUGUUGCCCUACCAGGCAGCCCGUGGUCAUGCAGGGAGGGCCUUCUUGGCUGUGUGCCUGGACCUGGAAAGUUGAGAGAGUGUGCCCAGGGACCACAGAGUCUGCCCCCCAGGAAGAGAAGUAACUGACUGUCAGCUUUAGAGGACACCCAGAUGGGCAGGGUCAGGCAGGCAGCCACUGGAUCUCUGGGCCAGCCCCAGGCCCUUGGCCUGGCCAGGCACUGCAUGGGCAGGACCAACCCCUUGUCAUGCAGUCCAGGCACUCACUUGUUUCAGAGCCUCCGCCCCUAUGGCCCAGAUUUACACAGGGUUUAGAUAGGGCUCCCUGAUGGUCAGUUCCAAAGACCUGCUCCAGCCCCUUAGGGCUUGCCUUUCUCAAGUUCUCUGACCAGGCCCUCCAGUGCUUUGCAGCUGCCCUGCAGUUGAGGAGUGUCUGUGAUCAGUGACCAUUCAUUCUGUCUCAACACUGCACUCCACCCAGCCCGGGAGACUUAUGCACCCUCAUCAUCACUACUCCCAAACCAGCACACACACACAUACAUACACACACACACACACACACACACACACACACACACACACUCUCUCACACCAGCCAAGCACAUAAGAAAACAUUUCUUAGGCACUACUAGCAGGGCACAGAGAGACAUUUUGCCCAGUGGAAGGCCUAGUGCUCAGGCUCCAUGUUUGUGGCUGGUGGUUGUAGGUUGG
rnacentral:lncRNA from 1 species